UGCCUCUUGAGAACCUAUACAUACUACACCAGCAACGUUUUUAGCUAGUAUGGAAAUAAUAUGCAUUUUGCUACUUCUCAACUUAAGUUAGGGAAAACCCCACUAUAUACCCUCUCAAGGAUUUCCCCACCAGUCAACGAACUACUUGCUCACAAAAAUCCCAUUUUAGUAGCUUCUUGCUUGUCAUCAUCUUGGAUAAGCUAGUAUAUGACUCACUUCAUGGGUCCUUCUUAUAUAUACACGUAUAGGCUUAGAAGGGAUUAACGUAUGUUGAUAGCAGCAAUGGCACUGCAAUUUGAGGCAGCAAAGUGUAGUUCUUCUCAAGAACAAAAUACGGGUGUUGGGCACCGCUUUGAUCUCGUUGUUCGUUUUGCCGUGUUAUUGGAUUCGGGCUUUCUUCACAGUGAAGGAAGGCGGAAAAAGAGUAAUUAUUGGCAUAUAAGAUCUUGGGGAGCCCGAGAUUUGAGUCGGAAUUUGUUUAGCGAGCGAGCGAGGUAUGUAAAGCCUAACCUUCCUUUCUUUUGGCAUGACCUUUAUGGAACGAAUAAAUGACGUAUAUGUAUGACUCUAAAGAAAAUCCUAUUCUUAGAGCCACUAGGAUGGCUAACAUCUUUGACCUCCAUGAGCUAUUCCAUAUGGCUGGAUACAUAUUUUAUGAUGUUCAAAGAUUCUAUUUGUUAUGUUCCGGAUGUUGUUCGAAAGAAAAACGAGAAGACUAAAGCCUUUGAUGAAUAUUUCGAUAUGAAAAUAUGGUCUUAAGUCCCCAUUUGAUUUGAUCCAUAAUGUUAUCCACAAGUUUCCUAGUAUGAAUAUGUGAUCCACAAUGAUGUCCGAAAAAUAUUUGAUAUGGCCUAAGUUUGGAUAUGUAUAUUUUGGAUAUGUCCAUAUGAUUCUAAAGCUCCGUUUGAAGUGCUCCAUAAUGUUAUUUGAAAGCUUCUUAAUAUAAAUGGUACUCGAAUUUCUAAGUCAGAAAUAUUUUCAGAAGAUUCCGUACUUCGAAAGUUUGUAACUCUCUUAUAUUAAUUCCAAUUGACCCGAAUCUUAUUUUGAGCCUUCAGAUGUCUGUAAAAAUAUUUGGCUAUCGAGUUUGAAAGAAAUUUAUUUAUUUAUAUGCAUAUGGUUUCCGCACUACUCUGCUCGUGCCUACUACUAUGAUAUCGUUCGCCGGAUUCCGGGCCGGUUUUGUGAUCGUGCGCACUAUGAUAUAUUCGGCAGUAUGAUGUGUUACGAUUCCCGAGACCUCGCCAUAGGGCCGGGUUCCGUUUAUGGAGUUAUGCGUCGUGAUAUGGCUUAUGAUAUGUUGUGAUGAUGUGUUAUGUUCGGGGUUGUACGGAGAUUUGAAACCUUCUGGAGUUAUGCUGUGUUGUGGCACCCGGCGUCGGAGUGGUGAUCACGUUCCUGAGCCUUAUGCAUGAUUUUGAUUUGCAUUACUUAUACAUAUGCUUUCGGCACAGACUUUGAUAUACUGGUCCGGUAUUUACUUCCUGUACCCUUUUAUGUCAGUUAUGGUUUGGAUUUCUGUACUCUAUGCUUUACAUACUCAGUACAUAUUUCGUACUGACCCCCUUUCUUCGGGGGCUGCGUUUCAUGCCCGCAGGUACAGACGUUUGUUUUGGUGGUCCUCCGGUAUAGGAUACAUAUUCUGCCACUUGGAGUACUCCUUUUGAUCCGGAGCUCAUAUUUUUGGUACAUAUCUUCUGUUAUAAAUGUUUUGUAUAUAUAUAUAUAUAUAGCUAUUUGGGUACGGCGGGGCCCUGUCCCGUCAUAUGUUUCUGUUAUGUUUUGUAGAGGCCUGUAGUCAUACAUGUGGGUCAUGGGUCAUGUUUGUUUGUUUCUGUUUAUGAUCUGUGCCUUGAGCGGUCCCGGUUGCUGUUAUGGCCAAAACGGCCCAUAUGUUUGUAUAUGUUUGUAUAUCUGGGCGAUGUGUAUUCCGCCAGCCUACCGGAUUUGAUAUGGUAUUUCUGUACGGGCAACCGCUUAAGAUGA